rnacentral:lncRNA from 1 species
CCCCCGCCCCGCCCCGGGAAAGGAGUGUGCACGCGCUUCGGGUGCGUGAAGGUGGAGGGUGAGAAGGCUAGCACCCCUUGCGCUGGCCUCCGGCACGUUUCUAUCUGCUGUGGGGAAUUGGGAAGAAGAGCUUUGAGCCACUCGCUCUGCCAGGUAAUGUGGCUACGACACGGCCCGCUGUAGCGCCGGGCCUGAAUCUUAAAUCUGAGGUUAAUUCUGAACGAUGCUCCGGCUUGCGGCCCCCUUCGCCUGACCCCGGCCGAACCACAGAGCCCUAUUCAGGCUUUGAGGGACUGAAGAGCUCAAGCGGCGCCCUUUGCCAAGUCCAUGCACACCACCGCUUCCGCCAGACACUCGGGUCUCUGAGGCACCUACUCUAAAUAAGAGCUCCACAGGGAGGGUGAGGCCAGUUCUCCCCUUUCCCAAGAAGAGUCUGAGACUGAAACCUUGAUGCUGAGAACACCUUUCCCCUUUCUGAUGCAAGCAGCUUGCAGAUUGUUAAUGCCGGAGCCUGAGGCAAGAAUGUCACAGACCUUUCCCAGGUGUUUGUUAAGGUUCUCCCAACAGGACGAUAAACUCAUCUGGAAGGCAGAGGGCCUGCCCAUUCAUAAACCUGUUGAUGUGGUCCCCAGAGUACCAGUUUAAGAUGGCAAGACCAACACUGUUGAUUCUGGGGCCAGAACUGGGACAAGUCCUUGAUCCGUCUACACUAGCUGUAUACACCAUCUACCUCCUGAGAGGAUUCAUUUUUCUUCCUAUUGCUAAAAAGGAGGAGUUGAGAAGAACUGGACCAAACAGCAGGUUGAGAGUACCCACAUCUGCCAAAGGGGCAGGGGGCUCAGAUGAAAUGAACAAAGUCAUGGCCCUCACGGGGUUCAGCUUCAUUGGAAAGACAGACCAGAAACCAACUCAUGACCAUGGGGAGAGCACCAUGAGGGUAUGGACAUGCUGCACGGACCCUAAAGGAGCAUGUUCUGAACUUGACUUGAGCUGAGCUGAGCCGGGGCGAAGGGGAGGCAGCCAAGGCAGACAUCUGAGAGGAGGUGCUGGCCCUGCAGCCACCUUUUAAAAGACGGUGUAAAACAUGGCUGUCUGUGCGGCGUGUGGAAGCAGGAAAGCGGGUGAGGUCGUGUCCGGGGCCGGAGCACAGUGUGCCUCAAGAGAGAGACCAGACAUCCCGUAAGAGGCAGAGAAGGCCCAUCGCUUUAAAAGCCUCAAGCGCAAUGCCAAGGAAUUCUAUCUUUAUUCUAAAACGAAUGGGCAGUCAUUAAAGGAUACUAAGCAGAAAAAUGCAUUGACUAGACAUGCAUGUUGGAAAAUGUACUUUGAUCAAAUUUGGUGUUGUUUAUGGUCAUUUCUAUAAAGUAUUUGGCAUUGGAAACUUAGUCAGGAACUUCACCCCCUAAUAGGACCAUUCUAAUUUCUUUAUAUUUCCUCUGAAAUUGACACCCGAAAUAAAGCUGACUUCCUAUGGAACUCUAUGCAUUUUCUGACUUUCCUUCCCUGGGCCACUCUGCUCCUUGGGGCCUCCUUUUGAAUCCAAGAAAUCAAUAUAAAAGUAAUUGAAUAUAAAUAAUCUAUCCACUUCUUUCCAUUCAUUUAUUUCUCAAGGCUAGUUUUUACAUGACUCUAUAUAGAAAAAAAAAUGUGACAAGGGACCGUCACUGUGUGUUUUAAAUGCAGACGAUAACUAAUGUUGAAGACAAUGAAAAAUAAGCCCAAAUUUCUAGUCUGUUAUAGGACACUGAUUGUAUUAGUCCAUGCAGAGGAAAUUUAGAAUCAAAACCAGUUAUAAAAAACAAACAUUAAAAACAGUUUGGGAGUUACCUUGCAGUGUAGUGAAUUAAGAAUCUGCUGUUGUCACUGCCACAGCUCAGGUCACUGCUGUGGCCUGGGUCCCAUCCCUGGCCUAGGAACUUCCACAUGCCAUGGGCAUGGCAAAAAAAAAAAAAAAAAAAAAAAAAA